rnacentral:rRNA from 1 species
UACGUAGGGUGCAAGCGUUGUCCGGAUUCAUUGGGCGUAAAGAGCUUGUAGGCGGUUUGUUGCGUCGGGUGUGAAAUUUCGGGGCUCAACCCCGAACUUGCAGUGGGUACGGGCAGACUAGAGUGUGGUAGGGGAGACUGGAAUUCCUGGUGUAGCGGUGAAAUGCGCAGAUAUCAGGAGGAACACCGAUGGCGAAGGCAGGUCUCUGGGCCACUACUGACGCUGAGAAGCGAAAGCAUGGGGAGCGAACAGG